UUAUAGCUUAGUUUGUAGAGCAUUUGCCUAGCAUGCACAAGGCCUUGGGUUCAAUUCCCAACAA
rfam:Mus musculus chromosome 17, GRC primary reference assembly.